UACGUAGGUGGCAAGCGUUGUCCGGAUUUACUGGGCGUAAAGGGAGCGUAGGUGGAUAUUUAAGUGGGAUGUGAAAUCCCCGGGCCUAACCUGGGGGCUGCAUUCCAAACUGGAUAUCUAGAGUGCAGGAGAGGAGAGUGGAAUUCCUAGUGUAGCGGUGAAAUGCGUAGAGAUUAGGAAGAACACCAGUGGCGAAGGCGACUCUCUGGACUGUAACUGACACUGAGGCUCGAAAGCGUGGGGAGCAAACAGG
rnacentral:rRNA from 1 species